rnacentral:rRNA from 1 species
GACGAACGCUGGCGGCGUGCCUAACACAUGCAAGUCGAACGGGGUAAUCCUUCGGGAUUACUUAGUGGCGAACGGGUGAGUAACGCGUGAGGAACCUACCUUUCAGUGGGGGACAACAGUUGGAAACGACUGCUAAUACCGCAUAACAUAUACGGACCGCAUGGUCUGUACAUCAAAGCUUUAUGUGCUGAAAGAUGGCCUCGCGUCUGAUUAGUUAGUUGGUGAGGUAACGGCCCACCAAGGCGACGAUCAGUAGCCGGACUGAGAGGUUGAACGGCCACAUUGGGACUGAGAUACGGCCCAGACUCCUACGGGAGGCAGCAGUGGGGAAUAUUGGGCAAUGGGGGAAACCCUGACCCAGCAACGCCGCGUGAAGGAAGAAGGCCUUCGGGUUGUAAACUUCUUUUACCAGGGACGAAGAACGUGACGGUACCUGGAGAAAAAGCAACGGCUAACUACGUG